UCAUCUACAGGGCAGCAAAAGCUGCUCCUCCUAAGCCAAUGCUCCCAGAACCAGAAAAAUGAAAUUACCUGAAAACCUGAUAAAUCAAUGCAUGUUUUAACAGCACGAUAGUAGCAAAAAGAAAAAAAAAAGAAAAAAAAACCAAAUCCUUACCAACCACUUGUGGCAGACAGUAAAAAGCAGGAGGAAAAGAUGCUAAUUCAGCAGGCAGCGCAUUUGGGAUGAUGGGAGAGAAACUUUCCCCUGACCACUCACACCUGCACGGCCUCCCUGUGUGCCUGAGCCCGGCCAGGGCUGUGACCUGCUCUGCUCUGCUCGGGGCAGGAGCUGAGUGCUGGCCACAGGCAGCAUUCCCAAAUUCCCAGACCCUCCAGCAUUCCCAAAUUCCCACACUCUGCAGCAUUCCCAGUUCCCAGACCCUACAGAAUUCCCAACUCCUAGCCCCUGUGGCAUUCCCAAUACCCAGUUCAUGCAGAAUUCCCCAUUCCCAGACCCUCCAGCAUUCCCAAUUCCCAGACCCUCCAGCAUUCCCAGUUCCCAGACCCUGCAGCAUUUCCAGUUCCCAGCGCCUGCAGCAUUCUCAACUCCCAACCCAUGCAGCAUUUUCAAUUUCCAACCCCACAGCAUUCCCAGCUCUCAGCCCGUGCAGCAUUUUCAAUUUCCAGCCUGUGCAGAAUUCCCCAUUCCUAGACUCUGCAGCAUUCCCAACUCUCAGACCCUUCAGCAUUCCCAGUUCCCAGACCCUACAGCAUUCCCCGCUUCCAGUCCAUGCAGCAUUUUCAAUUUCCAGACCUUUCAGCAUUCCCAGUUCCCAGACCCCAGAGUAUUCCCAACUCCCAGACCCCAUAGUAUUCCCAACUCCCAGUCCCUGCAGAAUUCCCCAUUCCCAGACACCACAGCAUUCCCAAUUCCCAACCCCUACAGCACUCCCAAUUCCCUCCAGCAUUCCCAACUCCCCACUCCUGCAGCAUUCCCAGAUCCCAGUCCCUGCACCGUUCCCAGCCCCCAGCCCCUGCAGCAUUUUCAGUUUCCAGAUCCCACAGCACUCCCAGUUCCCAACUCCUCCAGCAUUCCCAGUUCCCAGCCUGUGCAGCCCUGCAGCAUUUCCA
rnacentral:lncRNA from 1 species